UAGCAAGAUAUAAAUUUUAAUUAACUUUCUCGAAACCUAGGGAGUUACCUUAUUAUUGUUAUUAGCACAGGUGGUGUAAGUGUAGCAAAAUUUUAUUGAAAUUUUAAGGUAGCAGUGAAAUUCUUUUCGUACUAGGAGAUAGCUAGUUACAAUGGAAAUAUAUUUAAGUAUAGGUGAUCGUAUAAGCUAAAUUAUAAGUUAUUUUACAGCUUAUUGGUUUUCCUGUUUGUUUAAGGGCGAGCUUAUGCAAAUAUUUGUAAUAUAUUAUUAUAGGGUAAAAAAUAUAGGCUUGAAAUUAGCCAUAAUUUAAAACUUGUUUUAAGGUAUUUUGGAUAUAAUAUAUUUUGCUAUAAUUACGUUGUUGAGCAAAUAAACUAUAUUUAUGUUUUAUGUAUGCUAAGAUGAGUAUUUUUUGCAUAUUAUUUGGAUUAAAGUAAAUGUAUUUGGUAUUAGAUAUUGCAUAUAUUAAAAAUGUUAAAAAGGUACUCGGCAUUGUGCUUCGCCUGUUUAGCAAAAACAUGUCUCUUUG
rnacentral:rRNA from 1 species